UACAGAGGUCCCAAGCGUUGUUCGGAUUCACUGGGCGUAAAGGGUGCGUAGGUGGUUGUGCAAGUCUGAUGUGAAAUCUCCGGGCUUAACCCGGAAAUGGCAUUGGAAACUGCAUAGCUAGAGGGUUGGAGGGGGGACUGGAAUACUUGGUGUAGCAGUGAAAUGCGUAGAUAUCAAGUGGAACAUCAGUGGCGAAGGCGAGUCCCUGGACAACACCUGACACUGAGGCACGAAAGCUAGGGGAGCAAACAGG
rnacentral:rRNA from 1 species